CGGGACCCGCCGCCGCCGUAGGAGGUUAGUGUUGCGGGUGCCGGUAGAGGUCUGCGCUGGGUGGAGCGAGGCCGAGGCUGGCGUGAGUGACAGCACCAACGGUGCCGGAGGGCAUGGGGCAGGAGGCCGCCUCCAGGCUAGCCUUGGGACACUGACUGGCGCGAUCGGGAGCCGGCAGAGAAGCCGGCGUUUCCUUUUCCUCAGUUCCUGCUUCCGGGAUCCAGCUCUCCGAGCCUGAGGGGGCGGAGCUGCGUCUCUGCGCCUCCCGGCUCCCUGCGGUUUGGUAGCGAGGAAUGGGAUCCCGGAGGCUGCUGCACAGGCUGGGAGAGGAGUCGUUUGGCCAGUAGUCGGUUUCCAGCCCCUAGGGAACGAGGCCGCCUGAAAAACUGAUGGACCGCAUCCCUUCACGGGUUUAGGAUUUUAAAAGUGUUAAAUUAAAGGACCUUAAAGAGAUUGGUUGAUCCAGAAGCCGUUUCUACAGCUGAGCAUAACUGAGACCCAGAAGUUUUUAAGUUAGCCAGUAUCACACGGUAUUAACGUCGAGUCAUAAAUGAAAUCCAGUUCUUGUGAUUCCCAUUUCUGGAAUGUUGGGAAUAGCAGUUGUGUCUGCACUGUGGUUGCCCCAUGGCAUAAAGUGCAGCCACACCAGGAAAAAAAAGGAUAGAAAAUACUGUACUGUCUGGGAGGAAGACCUGGGUUGGGGUGGGUAAAAUUGCAUCAUUUCCAUAGUAUCUCGCCUGGCCUUAGUGCAUCUGCAUCCUCAGGGGUGGAGGGAAGUAUGGCCUUAGUGCCUUUACGUAUCAAUAGCUUUCCUCAGAAGUGGAGAGAAGUUGCAUCUCCAUAUCAUGGGAUAAUUACCAGGGCAACAGAGGGCUUAUCUGAACCUGAGAAGUGAGGAGGAGGGCUGCUUUUGCUUCUGCCGGAGUAGGAAAGAGAAACGACCCGGACUGCAAUUUAAACACCUCCUGGAGAGAACAGUAAGCCAAGGAACUACAGGCCAAGUCAGUCAAAGAACUACAGUGGAGAGGAAACACACAAGCCCCUGGAUGUAAUUGGCCCAGCCUUGGCCAGUCACCAUGCUGAUCCACCCACAGAGUUCCUCUGCUGCUAGGGAAGGGGAAGGAGAGAGCCCAGAGAGAGCAGUGGGAGCAAAGCAGUGGAGGCUUAGGGAGGGGAGAGAAGAAGCAGGAGGGCUUCUGCCUUAACUGUUUUUCCUUUUUUAUUUCAUUUAUAUUUGGUGCUCUAUUGUGAGGUUCCUUUGGCAUUUCAUAUUUGUAUAUGGCGCCCUAUAGUGUCCAGAAGC